UGUUUCAUAUUUUUUUCUUCUCCUAUAAAAUACAUCUUCUCUUUAAUCCUCUGUUCCAUAAGUCAUCUCUACAUUGCAGUUACACUACGAUUGUGCAGUUGGAAGAUGCCUCUAGAUUAUACUCAUCUUUCAGAGCUUUAAUAUCCCGUACAUAGAAUUAUCAUCCAAGAGAUAAAGCUGUAGUGAUUCUGGGCAUAGAAGUUAUUUUGGUGGAUUCAAAGGGAGAUCGAAUUCAAGCAUCAGUGAAACAAAAAUUGGCUCGAAAAUUCCAAAAAGAUUUGUUGGAAGGAAGAUGCUUUGAUAUAAUGAAUUUCGAAGUUUGUGCUAAUCAUGGUGACUACAAGGGAACCAUACAUCCUUACAAGAUUAAUUUCAUCUAUACUACAUGUCUAAGGAUGACGUUUUUAUGAUAUUAUUGGUGAGAUUGUUGGUAUGAGUGAGAAAGAUUGUUCAGGUCAAAGUUCAAAAUUGUUGGAUAUUCAACUUAGAGAUCUCAGGCUAGUGAAUUUGCAAGAGACCAAACUAUCAUCGACUGCACUUUAUGGCAGAGUCAUGCUGAAGAUGUUCAUUCUUAUGUCACUUGAUUUACCUUGAGAUGUGCAUGUGUUACAUGCUGAUUUCAUCUUCUGAUUGUUUUAACUGGAUUUGUAAAAUCGUUUGCAGAUGGAGAUCACGAAUGAAUUACUUGAUGUUAAAAACCAGUGAAGACAUAUAUAAACUACUCAAUGAGCAGAUUGAGAAAUACUGGAAGAGCAAUGCAUAAAGAAGUAAAACAUGAAAUCUUUUAACUAAUAUUUCUUCUCAGAAGCUGAGAUCAAUGUGUAUAUUUUUCUACUUUAAUCUAACUUAGUGUUCGUACGUUUCUGGUUGUCAA